AAGACCUUGUGCUUUUGGAGCGGCCGAUGCCUGAUUAGCUAGUUGGUAGGGUAAAGGCCUACCAAGGCUACGAUCAGUAGUUGGUCUGAGAGGACGACCAGCCACACUGGGACUGAGACACGGCCCAGACUCCUACGGGAGGCAGCAGUGGGGAAUUUUGGACAAUGGGCGAAAGCCUGAUCCAGCAAUGCCGCGUGAGUGAAGAAGGCCUUCGGGUUGUAAAGCUCUUUCAGUCGAGAAGAAAAAGUUGUGACUAAUAAUCACAAUUUAUGACGGUACCGACAGAAGAAGCACCGGCUAACUACGUGCCAGCAGCCGCGGUAAUACGUAGGGUGCAAGCGUUAAUCGGAAUUACUGGGCGUAAAGGGUGCGCAGGCGGCUCUGUAAGUCAGAUGUGAAAUCCCCGGGCUUAACCUGGGAAUU
rnacentral:rRNA from 1 species